AUAACGACUCUCGGCAACGGAUAUCUCGGCUCUCGCAUCGAUGAAGAACGUAGCGAACUGCGAUACUUGGUGUGAAUUGCAGAAUCCCGUGAACCAUCGAGUCUUUGAACGCAAGUUGCGCCCGAAGCCAUUUGGCCGAGGGCACGUUUGCCUGGGUGUC
rnacentral:rRNA from 2 species